AUCAUGUCUCCCCUAAUUUUCGUGGACCGUGCACAUUUUUACGAGUCUGUAAAAAUUAUCUGCGUGUCCAACUUCUUUCCCUAACCCUCUCUUUCUUUUCUUUCUUAAUCUCUGUUUUUUUCUUUUCUUUUAGUAGUGAGAGAGAGCCCAGCAGGCCGGCCUUUAAGGCCCAUCCCUAGGACCAGCCGCGCCCCUGCCCACCUGGGCCUCCUAAACACCUGGGCCGGCCCCAUGGCCACGUCCCCCUAACCCUAGCUCUACCUUAGCCCAAUCCCUCGCGCACCUCUCCUUCUCUCGAUCCCUCCCUCGCGCCGCCAGGAGAGGAGGCACAGCGCCUGAACCCACCAUCUCCCCGAUCCCAUCUCCCCUCGAUCCCUCCUUCUCGUACACUCCCCCUCUCGCGCCGCCAGAGUUUCUGGCCCGAUCCCCAUCCCUCUCCUUGCUCGCACACAGGCCCGCAGUUUCUCGAGCCCGUUCUCCAGCAUCGUCAUGCUCACAGGGGGGAGUGAGAGCUCCUCGCAUUCGAUCCCCAUGGCUACCUCGCGCGAGUUCCACUGCGCCUCGUCCUUGCGCCUGCACCAGUGACCUCGCCGGAGCCACCUUGCCUUGCCCGCCGCAUGAGGACCGAGGACUCAGAGCAACCGGUCCUUGAAGUUUCUCAGAGACCACGCGGAUUCGCCAAGUACCACGACAUCCGGAGCCCCUUGGAAACGUCAAGUUCGACUACCGUAGCGCCGAAGACCCUGGAUGCACCAAGUUCCUCUUCGGACAUGUACAACUACCAUCUCGUGCAGGACAUCAAGUACCACGACGACCGUCGACAUGUACCCCCUACACCGCACUGAAACGCCGAGUUCCUCGUCGUGACCCCGAACGUCUACGGAAACUCAUGCACUGAUAAACAUGUACCCCUACCGUCGCCGA